rnacentral:rRNA from 1 species
CCCUUAGAUGUUCUGGGCCGCACGCGUGCUACACUGAGUGGAUCAGCGGGUCAGGUUGCGCGAAAGCGUUUCCUAAUCUUUAAAUCCGCUCGUGAUGGGGAUUGACGGUUGCAAUUUUCUGCCAUGAACGAGGAAUACCUUGUAAGCGCGGGUCAUCAUCCCGCGCUGAAUACGUCCCUGCCCUUUGUACACACCGCCCGUCGCUCCUACCGAUUGAGUGGUCCAGUGAGGCUUUGGGAUCUGAGCGGAAAGAGCGUUUCGCUGUUUCUGCUCGGAAAACUCAGUCGAACCUUAUCAUUUAGAGGAAGGAGAAGUCGUAACA